CAGUCUGGUGCCAGCAGCCGCGGUAAUUCCAGCUCCAAUAGCGUAUAUUAAACUUGUUGCAGUUAAAAAGCUCGUAGUUGAAUUUCUGCGUUGCCCGACUCGGCUACUUGCCUUGUCUGGUUUCGCUUUUGGGGUUUUCCCCUUUUUACUUUGAGAAAAUUAGAGUGUUUCAAGCAGACUUGUGUCUUGAAUACUUCAGCAUGGAAUAAUAAAGUAGGACUUUGGUUCUAUUUUGUUGGUUUGUGAACCUUAGUAAUGGUUAAUAGGAACGUUGGGGGGCA
rnacentral:rRNA from 1 species